AACUGUUUCUACUCAGUGAUUGUGUUAUAAAAUAUUUGGGCCUAAAUAUUUGAUGGAAAAGAAGUUAAGGGCACUUAGUGUGUGUUAUGUUUUCAAUCUACCCUAGCAUCUUGAACAGAGAUGCUCACCUCAUGAUAAGGAAGUAGUGUGGCUGUGUGGUAAUAGGAUAGGUCCAGGGGAAGACAUGGUCUCCAAGGAUAUGCUUCAUUUACUUCCUGUCACCAGACCCCACCAGCCACAGCCUCUCUCUAGUAGUCUUCAAAUCCUGCAGUCUUCAACGUACUCAAACUCUCAUUAGUUCAGAAUCCUGAACAUAUAUAUAUACCUUAAAAGGGUAGGCAAUCCAGAAGAAUUCUAGAAAACCGAUAAAUUUGUAUAUAGAUAUAUACAUAUAUGUAUAUAUGACCUAUCAAAAUUAAACCAUGGAUAUUUGAAACACUUAUAUAGAUCUGUAACAAGCAAUGAGAUUAGAGCAGUAAUUAUGACUUCCCCAAAGAAAGUUCCUAGACAGAUUCACUGCUAAAGUCAACCAAUUAAAAACUAUUGUGUAAAUUUAAUUGCUGUUGAUCAUAUCUAUAGGAUAGGAAAAGGCAUUUAACUUACUUUUUAUUAAGGCACAUAUAGAUAAAUACACUGAACAUUCACUAUAACAUAGAAAUUGCUAUGAAAACUUAUACAGAAGUAAUUUGUUCCAACUCAGUAUCUCUAGGGCUUGUGAAAUUUAGUUGAACCUUUAAAAAAGAAGAAUUUUCAUAGCUAAAAAUAGUGUUCAGAAGACAGUAUAUUUCAGGAAGAUGAUCGGGCCCUGCCUCCCAACUUCUGCAAGCUGUGUGGCUCCAAAUGGCUUGAGCUUUCCUCUAGGGAUAGAAAACCAGGCAGAGAGGUCCUUAUAUGAUCUCUUACAGUCUCUAAACAACCAUUAAUUCACCUCUGGGUGUAUUCUUAGGAAUUCAUAAUCCAGUGUUGUAUUUUUUGAGGUAUAAAGAGACAACUAACAGUAGACUUUUUUCUGAGAUUUUUUUUCAAUUUAAGAAAAACUUAUGAGGCAUCCUGCUUAUAGUUUUAGGACCAUAUUCUGCGAGUGGUUUCUACAUUUGUAAAGAGAGACAGGAUCGAUGUAGACCUUUUUCUUAGCAAAGUUUCAAUGGAACAGCAUCAUAUUUUUCCUGUUUUUGUUCCACUGAGUAUGUAAAAAUUUCACAGAGCUCUUUUUCUCCACACCCCCCCCUUAUUGGAAGUCUUCAAUUGUAAAGAGAAUAUAAUGGCUUUGGGAAAUCUGAAACCAUGAAAUUAAAUAUAAUUACUUUGUUAUUUUUCAUUUUAAGCCAUCUGUGUUAAAAUGUUGGAAAUUAAAGUACUCUAAAUUUAAAGACAUGCUUUGACAUUUUGAACAAUGAUCAGAUUCUUAUAAGGAAUAAAUUCUUACCAGGUGCAUGGUCUGGAUUAAGAGAGCUCUUUGCCCUCUGUCAUUCUUCCCACUGUAUUUUCUUGACAUCUUAUCAUGCCUCAAAAUUGUGGACAGCUGCAGAAUACCCAUCUGAUGGCAGCAGGCUGCCUGUUGGUGUUCAGUGGACAGAAUGCAAUUACUGACACAAAACUAUAAAUUAACAUAUUUUCUACAUUAAAAUGUAUUUCCUUACUGAAGAUACAAUUGAAAAGACCUUACUUUUAAAAUUUGAUCCUUUUAUUUUGUAUGUGUGAGUAUUUUGGCUGCAUGUAUGGCUGUGUACCAUAUACAUGCAGUGCCUUUGGAGGCCAGAAGAGGAAAUUUUAUCCUCUGGAACUGGAUUUACAGAUGUAGGUAAACUGUGGGCUCACCCUGUUGGUGCUGAAAACCAAACUUUAGUCUCAGAAAGAGUAGCUGGUGCUCUUAACUGCUGAGCGAUCUCUUCAGCUGCUUGAAUGCAUCUUCAAAACCGAAGCAACUCUCCCAUAUUGCAGUUUGACUACAGAUUUCUUCUUUUGAAAUUCAUAGGCAAAUGGAUGGAACUGGAAAAUAUCAUCCUGAGUGAGGUAACCCAAUCACAGAAAAACACACAUGGUAUGCACUCAUUGAUAAGUGGCUAUUAGCCCAAAUGCUUGAAUUACCCUAGAUGCACAAAACACAUGAAACUCAAGAAGGAUGACCAAAAUGCGAAUGCUUCAUUCCUUCUUUAAAAGGGGAACAAGAAUACCCUUGGGAGGGAAUAGGGAGGCAAAGUUUAGAACAGAGGCUGAAGGAACAUCCAUUCAGAGCCUGGGAAAGGGAAUAACAUUUGAAAUGUAAUUAAGAAAUACCCAAUUUAAUGGAAAAAAAAAAGAACAGUUCAUUAGAGUCCACAAAUAGAACACUCCUGAUUUAUUUAAAUGUAAAUGAAAUACACUUGUUCUUUUCCUUGUUAAUCUUGAGAAAUUCAUAAUGUGCUUCUAGAAUGUUACUUUCUGGAUGAAUUCAUAUGCAGGAUAGUGUGUUUUCUGUCAAAAUCCAGCAGAAAGAAGCAACAAUAUGUUGUACAUGUCCACAGCAAUGUAAGUAUAAGCCUGUCUUAUGUUUGUAGUUAAAUGGUAUUCUAAAACUUGGUGAGUUUUACAAAAAGUGAUUGAGUUCACAGCUACAAAGGCUCAAGGACAUUGUUCUGAUAUCUAUAUGUUCUGUUCUAGUAAAGGCUACAUGGUAGAUGGCAUCAUGGUCGAUGACAUGAUGAUAGAAGACUUCAUGGGGAACCAAAAAUUAUAAUGUCAUCAUGAUCAAUAGCCUCUUGCCAGACAGCAUCAUGAUGGAUAGUAUCACAGGAAAGGUACCAUCAUAGUAAAGGCAUCUUGGUGAAGGCAUCAUGAGUGUUAAUUUCAAAUGCUGCCCUCUAAGGGCCAAGCAAUCAGGAUGAAACCCUGGCCUUCUCCACUGGCUUCUUAGAUUCUUCAUUAAGAAUCAUAGCCUUUUGAUAAUAAAGGAGGUAAAGAAAGAUGGGACAAUACGUGCAACUGUAUAUUAAAAGACAGCGAUGAGAAAAUUUGGAAUGUGAUAUAUGCUAUAUGCUAUAUGAAGAGAGUUUGAAUGGCUUAUUACUGCCAGGACUCUCCUAAUGCUGAGCUGAACCUCUAUGUACAGUAUGAUAUCACUGUUUUUUUUUUUACCACACCAUGAAGUACCUUGGGCACCUUCAGGAUCACAGAAAACCAAAUGACUCCAGAAUGUUCUAUCACACCAUGAUCCUCUGAUCCUCUUCAGAAAGGAACAUUCUCAACUCACCUCUCAGAACAAAGGGAAAGCAAGGAACAGAUACAAGCAAAGCAACAGAAUCUGAAACAUGCUGAUAAAUCAAGAAAGGAAGUCUUCCACAGCACCUGAGAAAGCCAUGUGAAAGCUACCAUAACAGCUUGAAAUAUCAGUGCACCAUGCACUCAUAUGUCACGGUGAGACUAGUCUUGCUCUAACAACUGUGGGCUGGAGAAGAUUCAUAGAGGAGAUAGAGGAUUUUUUUGUUAUUGUCUACAUUUGUCUGUGGGUCUCUAGAGCAGUGGUUUUCAAGCCAUGGGUUGUGAUCUCUUUGGCAAACCUCUAUCUCCAAAACUGUUUACGACAUCAUUAUGAAGUUGCAAAAAUACAGUAUGUGGUAGAAGGAAGAAUAAUUUUAUGGUGAGGGUCACCACAACAUGAGGAACUAAUUUAGAAGCUGCACCAGUAGGAAGGUUGAGAUGCUCUGGAACUUGUGCGUCUGACCAAGGACAUUUUCUCAUCACCAGCCCUGGAUGGUCUCUCUGCUCACUGUUCUUUCAUUCUAGGCAACUUGUCUAGGAAGCUCUGUGAUUCACCACAGUUUCCCACCCUCCUAGAUCCCAUUAUACUGUCUUGAGGAGAACUAUGCUUACGGGGGAAAGUGCUAGAAGCAAGUUUUCAUUCCAUCUGACUCAGCUUUGUUAUUCAUUAUUUUUGGCAAGUAAAAUGAAUAAGAAAAUUUUUAGUAUAGCUUUGAAGUUAUUCUAAAAUUUGAAAUCAAAUGCUGAAUUUACAGUCAUCCCGUCAUCGAAAAAUUUUAACAAGUUAUUUUACUAUAAUAAUUUUGGUUUAUUCUAACAUCACACCAGGCAUCCAUGCAUUUUGUUUGCAAAUAUAAAGAAAAAAUGUACCAGUUAUAUGCACGGUCUCUGUGUACACAUAAAUAAU